rnacentral:rRNA from 1 species
GUGGCGGACGGGUGAGUAACGCGUGGGUAACCUGCCUUACAGAGGGGGAUAACAGUUUGAAAAGACUGCUAAUACCGCAUAAGCGCACAGAGUCGCAUGACUCAGUGUGAAAAACUCCGGUGGUAUGAGAUGGACCCGCGUCUGAUUAGCCAGUUGGCAGGGUAACGGCCUACCAAAGCGACGAUCAGUAGCCGACCUGAGAGGGUGAUCGGCCACAUUGGGACUGAGACACGGCCCAGACUCCUACGGGAGGCAGCAGUAGGGAAUCUUCGGCAAUGGGGGCAACCCUGACCGAGCAACGCCGCGUGAGUGAAGAAGGUUUUCGGAUCGUAAAGCUCUGUUGUAAGAGAAGAACGUGUGUGAGAGUGGAAAAGUUCACACAGUGACGGUAACUUACCAGAAAGGGACGGCUAACUACGUGCCAGCAGCCGCGGUAAUACGUAGGUCCCGAGCGUUGUCCGGAUUUAUUGGGCGUAAAGCGAGCGCAGGCGGUU